rnacentral:rRNA from 1 species
GAUGAACGCUAGCGAUAGGCUUAACACAUGCAAGUCGAGGGGCAGCAUUUCCUUCGGGAAGAUGGCGACCGGCGCACGGGUGAGUAACGCGUAUGCAACCUACCCAUAACAUUGGGAUAGCCCGUUGAAAGACGGAUUAAUACCGAAUAACACAGGGGCACCGCAUGGUGAUAUUUGUUAAAGAUUUAUUGGUUAUGGAUGGGCAUGCGUUGGAUUAGCUAGUUGGUAGAGGUAACGGCUCACCAAGGCAACGAUCCAUAGGGGAACUGAGAGGUUUAUCCCCCACACUGGUACUGAGACACGGACCAGACUCCUACGGGAGGCAGCAGUGAGGAAUAUUGGUCAAUGGGCGAGAGCCUGAACCAGCCAAAUCGCGUGAAGGAUGACUGUAUUAUGUAUUGUAAACUUCUUUUAUAUGGGAAUAAACGAGCGGACGUGUCCGUUUUUGCAUGUACCAUAUGAAUAAGCAUCGGCUAACUCCGUGCCAGCAGCCGCGGUAAUACGGAGGAUGCGAGCGUUAUCCGGAUUUAUUGGGUUUAAAGGGUGCGUAGGUGGNNNUNUAAGUCAGCGGUGAAAUCACGACGCUUAACGUCGUAACUGCCGUUGAAACUGGGAUCCUUGAGUGUAAACGAGGUAGGCGGAAUUUCGUAGUGUAGCGGUGAAAUGCAUAAGAUAUUACGAAGAACACCGAUAGCGCAGGCAGCUUUACCAGGCCACAACUGACACUGAAGCACGGAAAGUGUGGGUAUCAAACAGGAUUAGAUACCCUGGUAGUCCACACAGUAAACGAUGAAUACUAGGUGUUUGCGAUAUACCGUAAGCGCCCGAGCGAAAGCGUUAAGUAUUCCACCUGGGGAGUACGCCGGCAACGGUGAAACUCAAAGGAAUUGACGGGGGCCCGCACAAGCGGAGGAACAUGUGGUUUAAUUCGAUGAUACGCGAGGAACCUUACCCGGGCUCGAACGAAAGAUGAAUGACCUGGAAACAGGCAGUCCGCAAGGACAUCUUUCGAGGUGCUGCAUGGUUGUCGUCAGCUCGUGCCGUGAGGUGUCGGCUUAAGUGCCAUAACGAGCGCAACCCUUACCGUUAGUUACCAUCAGGUAAAGCUGGGGACUCUAGCGGGACUGCCACCGUAAGGUGUGAGGAAGGUGGGGAUGACGUCAAAUCAGCACGGCCCUUACGUCCGGGGCGACACACGUGUUACAAUGGGUGGGACAGAAGGCAGCCACUUGGCGACAAGGAGCUAAUCCCUAAACCCACUCCCAGUUCGGAUUGGAGUCUGCAACCCGACUCCAUGAAGCUGGAUUCGCUAGUAAUCGCGCAUCAGCCAUGGCGCGGUGAAUACGUUCCCGGGCCUUGUACACACCGCCCGUCAAGCCAUGGAAGCCGGGGGGACCUGAAGUACGUAACCGCAAGGAGCGUCCUAGGGUAAAACCGGUAACUGGGGC